UUUUUUUACUUUAUUUUACAGCCACAUGUUUUUAACUUUGAGCCUAAGCAAUUCUAGAUUAUUCCGGAUAUUCAAUUUUAUAUUACCUCCUCCAGUUAUAAAGAUGUUUAUAGGAUAUGCUUCACCAUUAAUUUUAUCAAUCCUAUAUGUGCAAUCUGCAAAAGCUAAUAAGAUGUUUCUAUGAUGUUUCGAGCUAGCAAAUUGAUUGCGGGCUUCCCAGUUUCACAGGUGAGGACACCGACAAUCAAUUUGCGAGCUAUAUUUAUGGAGCUUCUAUCUGCUUAUAAAAUCUCAACUUUCAUUGAUCAUCAACUUAGAGAAAGGUGAUGAAAUUUCAACCACACUUGGCAAAGCAAUCAAGGAAUGCAAAAUCUUGACUACACCCAACACCAUAUAUACUCGCUAGCUGAUCGUGCAGUAAUUAAAAUUCUGUCUCAUAUAAAAUUUGGAACAACUAUAUUUAUGGGCCAAAUUUUCCUGAUUUUCUCUGUGCAGGAGAUGCAAUCAAUAUUACGAUUGCAUAGCCUGAUUUGGUACUAGUUUGCUUACUGGGAUUCAACAAAGAGGGUUUUUUUUUUUUUUUUUUUUUUUUUUUUUUUUCUCCUUUUUCGGGGGCUUCUGUCAUUUUUCCGUAAAAUAUACAUAAGUAAGCAGACUCCACCAAAUCCUUGAGGUUAAUUACUAGCUAAUUACAAUGAUGUAUGAACUCUCCAAGUGCUUUUCUAUACAUACAAUGCAAAUAGGAGAGGCAAGAAGAAUAAUUAAAGAAGAUAAUAUUAGAUUUGGAGUUAAUAAUUGAGACUUUAAAAAAAUUUAUAAGUAAAGCCAUAUCAUAGGACUGUAAAAUAUAAAUUUCUAAUAGACUCGCAUGCCCUGAAGACUGCAGUGAGAGAGUGCAAUUAACCAUGCGACGACCACUUUAUCAUUUCUCUAAGAAUUCCUCAAUUGAAAAGAUCUUUUGCUUUUCACCCAAAAUAAAAUAAAAAAAUAAAAAAAAUUGUGUUUUGCAUCCGUAUUUAUCAACCAUAUAUACUCAUGCUACGACAAUAAGACACAAUUUUUAAAUUAAAAGAACCAAAAAUAUAAUAUAAAAAAAAAAAAAAAAAAGAAAGGAAAAGAGAGAAAAUUAUUCAUUUUGACUAAAUAGCCUAGAGGGGAUCCCAGCAUAUCAAACCCCAACGGUAUAAAUUAUAUAUAAAACCAACACGCCCCUGUUUCAAGCUUCACAUAGAUAAAAGAAUAAUAAUAAACAAAAUAACUCUUUUGCCCUACACACAUCUCCUAAUUAUAGUUGAAUUUGACAAGUGGUACAGAAUACAGAUAAAGAACAAGUCCACUUGAAAAUUUUUAAUUAUGUAUUCAUAUAUGUGUAUACAUAUGUAUAUAUUGCUUCAUUAUAUACAUAAAAGAUAAAAUUCAAUGAUCAUUAAUGAUGGAAUUUUACUUUAAGGUAAAAUAGAUCAUAUUUUAAACUGUGUGUUAAACCAUAGGCAGUCAAUACUUUAAAAUUCCAAUCUGGGGCCAUAUGGGAUGCCUUAGAUAUUUGAAUAUAACCUUGAUGCAUAAAAUAAAGAGGCUCAUUAAAGGUCAUAUGGGCCUCAAUAAACAAAUCCCACACAACCAGCAUGUUGCGUUGAGAAAAGGUUAAAAAAUAGGCUUCGUAUUUAUAUAUAUAUAUAUAUAUAUGUUACUUAUUGCCGAUGAGCCGUGCCUCCAAAUUAAUUUAAAAAGGACAGGGGCCCAGGGUGUGAAAUGAAAUGUUAAAUAAAGCUGCAUGGGCAUAGCCGCAUUGGUCUUGGAUGGAAUAUCAUUUGAGUAUUGUUCAUAUUUCUUUUCAAAACUAGAAAAAGAAAAGUAGCGUUCACAUUUCCUUAGUCUAAUUAAUUUAGUAGUUAUAUAACCUAUAUAUAUUUAUUUGUAUAUGCCUUUUUUUUGUCAUAUAUAUAUAUAUAUGCUUAAGAAUAUUGUUAAUUAGAUAAUCAAAGAAAAAAUAAAGAAAAGAAUAUUGUAAAUUAAUAAUUAGAGAAUGAAUUUGUUUAAAAAAAGAAAAAAAGAAAAGGAAAUCAAUUUCAGUGAGCUCCUCAAAAUUUGGAUGUUAAUUAUAUAUAUUUCCCAAAUUUUGGGGAUUUCCACCUC